AAUAGAUACCCCGGUAGUCCACGCCGUAAACGAUGAGUGCUAAGUGUUAGAGGGUUUCCGCCCUUUAGUGCUGCAGCUAACGCAUUAAGCACUCCGCCUGGGGAGUACGGUCGCAAGACUGAAACUCAAAGGAAUUGACGGGGGCCCGCACAAGCGGUGGAGCAUGUGGUUUAAUUCGAAGCAACGCGAAGAACCUUACCAGGUCUUGACAUCCCACUGACCGGUAUAGAGAUAUACCUUUCCCUUCGGGGACAGUGGUGACAGGUGGUGCAUGGUUGUCGUCAGCUCGUGUCGUGAGAUGUUGGGUUAAGUCCCGCAACGAGCGCAACCCUUGAUCUUAGUUGCCAGCAUUUAGUUGGGCACUCUAAGGUGACUGCCGGUGACAAACCGGAGGAAGGUGGGGAUGACGUCAAAUCAUCAUGCCCCUUAUGACCUGGGCUACACACGUGCUACAAUGGAUGGUACAAAGGACUGCAAGACUGCGAAGUCAAGCCAAUCCCAUAAAACCAUUCUCAGUUCGGAUUGCAGG
rnacentral:rRNA from 1 species